rnacentral:rRNA from 1 species
GACGAACGCUGGCGGCGUGCUUAACACACGCAAGUCGAACGGUAAGGCCCUUCGGGGUACACGAGUGGCGAACGGGUGAGUAACACGUGGGUGAUCUGCCCUGCACUUCGGGAUAAGCCUGGGAAACUGGGUCUAAUACCGGAUAGGACCACUGCCUGCAUGGGUGGUGGUGGAAAGCUUUUGCGGUGUGGGAUGGGCCCGCGGCCUAUCAGCUUGUUGGUGGGGUGAUGGCCUACCAAGGCGACGACGGGGAGCCGGCCUGAGAGGGUGACCGGCCACACUGGGACUGAGAUACGGCCCAGACUCCUACGGGAGGCAGCAGUGGGGAAUAUUGCACAAUGGGCGCAAGCCUGAUGCAGCGACGCCGCGUGAGGGAUGACGGCCUUCGGGUUGUAAACCUCUUUCAGCACCGACGAAGCGCAAGUGACGGUAGUAGCAGAAGAAGGACCGGCCAACUACGUGCCAGCCGCCGCCGUAA